rnacentral:rRNA from 1 species
GACGAACGCUGGCGGCGUGCUUAACACAUGCAAGUCGAACGGAAAGGCCCUGCUUUUGUGGGGUGCUCGAGUGGCGAACGGGUGAGUAACACGUGAGUAACCUGCCCUUGACUUUGGGAUAACUUCAGGAAACUGGGGCUAAUACCGGAUAGGAGCUCCUGCUGCAUGGUGGGGGUUGGAAAGUUUCGGCGGUUGGGGAUGGACUCGCGGCUUAUCAGCUUGUUGGUGGGGUAGUGGCUUACCAAGGCUUUGACGGGUAGCCGGCCUGAGAGGGUGACCGGCCACAUUGGGACUGAGAUACGGCCCAGACUGCUACGGGAGGCAGCAGUGGGGAAUAUUGCACAAUGGGCGGAAGCCUGAUGCAGCAACGCCGCGUGCGGGAUGACGGCCUUCGGGUUGUAAACCGCUUUCGCCUGUGGCGAAGCGUGAGUGACGGUAAUGGGUAAAGAAGCACCGGCUAACUACGUG